rnacentral:rRNA from 1 species
UACGUAGGGGGCAAGCGUUAUCCGGAUUCAUUGGGCGUAAAGCGCGCGUAGGCGGCCGCCUAAGCGGAACCUCUAACCCCGGGGCUCAACCUCGGGCCGGGUUCCGGACUGGGCGGCUCGAGUGCGGUAGAGGAGAGUGGAAUUCCCGGUGUAGCGGUGGAAUGCGCAGAUAUCGGGAAGAACACCGAUGGCGAAGGCAGCUCUCUGGGCCGUCACUGACGCUGAGGCGCGAAAGCUGGGGGAGCGAACAGG